UACGGAGGAUCCGAGCGUUAUCCGGAUUUAUUGGGUUUAAAGGGUGCGCAGGCGGGGGAUUAAGUCGGCGGUGAAAUUUUGCAGCUCAACUGUAAAAGUGCCUUCGAAACUGGUUUCCUUGAGUGUAGAUGAAGUAGGCGGAAUUUGUGGUGUAGCGGUGAAAUGCAUAGAUAUCACGAGGAACUCCGAUUGCGAAGGCAGCUUACUAAGCUACUACUGACGCUCAGGCACGAAGGCGUGGGGAUCAAACAGGAUUAGAUACCCGGGUAGUCCCUGA
rnacentral:rRNA from 1 species